UCACCUUGGGGAAGCCAGACCAAAGCGCGGGCGCUGUAACUAGUUCGGCUGAUGCAAGAAGGCGUCGGUGCGCGGUUCUGGGAACUUCGCUGUGCAAAGAGAAAGAGGUAUUAGUGAGACAGCUCCUAAUAUCGGUGGUGUAAGAUGAGGAAAAGAAGCAUGAAAUAACCGGAGUAGCGGGAACCCGGGAACAUAGUGUAUAAAGGAAAGAUAAGGAAGAGCCACAGGAGGAAGGGCAGCCGUACCUGUAAAGCUGACUAACAACGUAAUUAAAAUAGUUGUAAAUGCCAGGCGUGCCUUCCGAGGAUCGAUGCCCUCCUCUGCUGUCACCGCUGGGGCUGCCGGUCACACAUGCAGCAACUCUGCAGUGGAGAGGCAGUUUUUCUUUACAAAGAGGACAUAUUGUAAAGAAUUCAAUCUCUGCGUUCAUGGACCGCUUCAUAUUUUUAAAAAAACAGCUCAUUUCAGGUGAGUUUGAGAGAAGAUACGGAACAAAGAAAAGGGAAUUUUUUUUGUUUGCUUCUUGUACGGGUGGUUUAAAAUAGGCUGUGCCCACUUCCUCUUAGGGGAAAUACUAAGAGAGGCUACCUACCCAGGGGAUAUGAUUAAAUAAAAUAAAUAAAGUUUGGCCUCAGGCCGCUGUCUCCUCCUAAUUCCAGCUUCUCACAGGCUGAACCUUGGGACAGAAGGGGCCGUGGAUCAUGCAAAAGACAGGACUUGCUGCCUGAAAUUGCAGCUUCACUAAAGGACACGUUCCCAGUGGUAUCUGGGAAGCACAUAGGCUUUUGCUGUGUUUUGGAUGUUCAUUGGCGAUUAGGAAGACUAGCACAGAUCGGGCCACUUAAGAUGAGCGACCACGCCACACGUCAGAAAGUCCAAUGGCAGCAACACGUCCAAGUUCAAGUGAGCUGACUUCCAGCGGUGACCACAGUGCGUCCCCGGGGCCGUGUCCAGGGCCAGCGUGAAGCCCUCCGCAGCAGAAGCCAAGUACCUGUGGGGCCACGGUGAGGAGUCGGUCGUUGCUCACGUCUGCCGCUCAGCCCGGAGCUGAACUUCAUCUUGCCAGAGGCACUCUGCAGCGGGACACAGGGAAUAUGAGAAAUGCACCGAGGAUUUGUUGAGCGUGCAGGUU